GCCGCUCUAGGCCAACCCUCGAAGGCCGAGGUCCUCCGACGUUGACGUGCUCCGCCCCAGCGGUGCGUUUGCCGGGUGGCGCGUGCGCGUCUUGCUCCGCUGCGGGCGGUUAACGGUCGCGCUCGCGCCGCUCUUCCCUCUCUCCCUCCCCCUCCCCCCCCUCAGCCUCUGCUCGCGCGGGGCUGCCGGGGUUCGGUGCCUUCGAGAAGUUUCCCUCGCUCAGGGCUGAGGUGACCGUUAGGGAGUCUCGACAGCCCCCAUGCACCUGCCGCGUCAGCCUUCCACGGGAGUCUCGUUUCCUUAAGAAAUCGGAAUUCAGCCACGAUUCAUCCUUAGGAGGAGCCAAGUCCAAACUCCAAAGACCGGGAGCUGACUUAAAGUUCUUUACUGGAGUCUGCAUGCUUUGAUACACAUACUUGUGCUGCUUUUAAGAGAACAAUUGGCUUUGAUCUCUUCUGAGGUAAAAGACUGUGCAGAAUCAGCUGUAUUUCCAGAAGCAGCAAAGGACAAAGUGAAUUUUUAGUUACAGUCUACAUAACAGAAUUUUUGUAGGUGACAUAACAUGAUCACAAAAUAACUUAAAACUAUGUUUACAGUGUGCACUCAAAACAUAUUCCUGUGUUGAUGAUACAUUUGGAAAAUGAAUAGAAUUUAGAUCACUUUCUUUUUGAAGCACUUACUCCUAAAGUGCUUUGACAAAUUCAUUUGACUAAAUGAUAUAAUACAGAUGCAAGGAGGCAAUGCAAGACUUCUUCAGAUGAUUUUAC
rnacentral:lncRNA from 1 species